UCGGUAGAGCAUCUGACUUUUAAUCAGAGGGUCGACAGUUCGAGCCUGUCACGACUCA
rnacentral:tRNA from 1 species